rnacentral:rRNA from 1 species
UACGAAGGGGCUAGCGUUGCUCGGAAUUACUGGGCGUAAAGCGCACGUAGGCGGCUUUCUAAGUCGGGGUGAAAUCCUGGAGCUCAACUCCAGAACUGCCUUCGAUACUGGAGAGCUCGAGUCCGGGAGAGGUGAGUGGAACUGCGAGUGUAGAGGUGAAAUUCGUAGAUAUUCGCAAGAACACCAGUGGCGAAGGCGGCUCACUGGCCCGGUACUGACGCUGAGGUGGCG